GUGAUGCUGUGAGACGAGCCCCCCCCCCCCAAACGCGUCCCCCCACGGACCCUGCGAUCCCCACCCUAGCUGGAAAAUGGGGCGCCUGGAAAAUGUUUUUAUUCUAUGAACCCUGCGAUCUGCCAGUGUCACACAUUGUGCUGGGCCCCGGCAGAUGAAGGCCCCCAGGCUUGUCCCAAUGGCAUGUGACACGGUGAGCAUCGGAGGGAACUCCAGAAGAGGCCUCCCUGGAGGCUGGCAGAGCACUGAUUCUGAGUCCUGUGUGGCUUCUCCACGAAGGCACCCUGGACCACUGGACCACGCUUCUGCAGACACCGGAAGAAACCGGUUUUCUAGCUGACAGCUAUUCAUCACAGUCACUGUGUGUCACGGGUUAGUGGUCCCAAAGGGCUAGACCUGGGAAAUCUAGGCAGUUGUUUUUUGUUUUGGUUUGGUUUGGUUUUUUCCACCACAAACUGAAGGCUAGCAUUUGGAUAAGAUCCUUUAAAAAAUGGUGACAAGAUGCUUUCCUGAGACCUUUGCUUCGGUGUCCUUUACAGCUUUCCUGUCUCCCCAGAUAAUGUCCUUUGUCAGUCUCCCCUUGUCUCCGUCCUCCUCCCAGCGCCUCGGAAUGUGUAUCUAUUGUUUUGCUGGUUUCCUCUUCUGGCACCUUUAGGCAGUCAUUUCCCAUCCCAUCCCAUUUUCUCGGGGGUCUUCUCCCGCCCCCUGCCCAUUUCUGUGCCGCGUUCACUUUUUCUUUUUCUGUGAAUCACAGCUCGGUCCCUCCUCUCACCUUUAUCUACAUCCUUCAUCUGUCUCUCACUCUCCUUACUUUCCUUCCUUCCAGAUGUAACAUUUCGAGUCUGUAACAUCCAGAGAUAGACAAUGGAGAACUAUCCAGCCUCCACUGCAAAUUCAUUCUUAAUCCGAUGAAAAAUGUAUCGGGAAACAAACACCUCAGUCCUUGGUUUUGGAAUUCAGCUCCCGAGGAGAAUAGUGCGGUGACAUGCGGGAGAAAUGAUCACAUCCUUGACAACGGAUUUCCAAUCACAAUCACCUGAUUUGCAGUAGAAAAAAUGUUGCCCUUACCAUUUUACUAUAAAAUGUGGCUGCUGAG
rnacentral:lncRNA from 1 species